rnacentral:rRNA from 1 species
GACGAACGCUGGCGGCGUGCUUAACACAUGCAAGUCGAACGAAGUGGCGAACGGGUGAGUAACGCGUAAUCAACCUGCCCUUCAGAGGGGGACAACAGUUGGAAACGACUGCUAAUACCGCAUACGGAAGGAGUGGAUUGCGUGUGAUUAGCUAGUUGGAGGGGUAACGGCCCACCAAGGCGAUGGUCAGUCGGCGGGUCGAGAGGAUGAACGGGCACAUUGGGACUGGGACAACGGCCAGACCUCUAAGGGGAGCAGCAGGGGGGAAUCUUCCGAAAUUGACGAAAGGCUGAAUGAGCAACGGCGCGGGAGUUGUGACGGCCUUCGGGUUGUAAAGCUCUGUUAAGCGGGACGCGGUACCGGAAUAGAAAGCCACGGCUAACUACGUGCCAGCAGCCGCGGUAAUUC